GCCCAUCUAGCUUUUACACAUUACUAGAAACAUCACAACAGUUUAGUAUUUAGCUUUUUUCUUUCCUUUUACACUCACUUUGCCAAUUUUGGGGCAAGGUGUCUUUAAAUCCUUACAAGGACUUGGAAAGAAAAGAUACUGAUAUCUAGAAGAAUCCUAUUGAAAAUGUCUUACAUAAAGAGAAGAAACUGAACUGAAGGCAAGGCAAACACUGUUCUCUUCCUGUAGCUAUCUUGUUAAAGAUAAGCAGGCUCCAAUAUGGUCUGUGCUAGUAACUAUAAAAGCAACCGAGUCACUGGUAGGUGAUUCAACCGCCUCACGUGUCCCUGAUGAGCCAUUAUCUUGCACUGACAGUUUCCUCUCUCUCACAGGCCUGAUUGCAGACUGGACUGCAAUUAUGCAGCAGUUGUCCUUUUGGAAAUUAAGGAAGAAGGAACGGUCAUUUAAAUUGUCCCUCAAACGUGGGAAGCAUCGGAGCAUUAUCCACCCAUUGCCUCUUGCUGCCUAGCCAUGGCCCGGUGUGUUGAGCGAGGUCCGCUGAGUGCAUUUCCCGGGCCUGCGGACUGAAGUACCAGGUUCCACUGCGUAACCAAGCUUCAGUGCAGCUCCCUCCCCCCGCUGUGUGGAGACAGCAGAUCCCCGACGUUUACUUCUGCUAACUUUACAGCGCUUCCAUCUAAGGAGAAAUUCAAGCAACGAUUCUUCACUAGAUCCUGGACACUAAUACAACCUAUGAAGCCCGAGAACAGCUUCUGCCCCGAGGAAAAAAAAAGAUACAGUGUACUAUAACUGCAACGGCCAUGCUGGUGCAGAAGGCUCAGUGCAAGCUAUGGUACUAACUGGGAAUCAGCAUCUUACUAAAUUUUACAAAACUAACAGCUUUGAGGGGAAAAAAAAAUAAAGCACUUUUCAGUAUGGUG